AAUAAAAAGCCCAACAAUAGUAACUAGAGAGGAAGGGAGAAGGGAAAAGUACGAACCCUAGUUAUGAUCUAACUAGUUCCGUCGAGAGAGAACCAAAGUUGUAAAAUAGCACUUGCCUUUGUGUUAUUCUCAGGUCUCAAGGCAGAGAUUUUGUUCUUGAUCAUGCUCUUAAACCUUUUCCAAAGUGAAUCUGUUGAUCUGUAUUUCCCUCGAUGCAGUCUUUCAUUUCUUUCCCACCACAGUUCGUAAAUUGUCGCUUGCCAAGAGAGGAGAGAUAGGUAUUUAUGAUGUCUUGAUCCAGAGAGGGACAGGAGAGAGUGAGUUACGUCAUUCCAGGAGUUCGAAGAGGAAGUGAUACGAAGCCUUGUAGCAAAGUGAUUCCUUGAAAAUGGGCAUUCAAAAUACAGGUGAUCCCUUGACUCAUUGGAGCUAUUACAGAGGAGGCAGAGAAUAUCGGUUUGCAAGCCCCAAGAGAUGAGUCGAUCACGAGUAGGGCUCCUGUUCAAUAGCAUUAGCCAAGCAAGAGAGCUGUGUUUUGGUAUACUUUUUUGAACCAGAUGAUAUGGUGCCAAGGAACUGUUGGCGUAUCCUCAAAGAAUGAGUGGUAGACAGUUGAAGGGGAGAAAGUAUGCUUAGGCGUGCCAUUGACAAUCCAUUCAGUGGUGCUCGGCUCGUCAGUAAGCGAUAUAGUGGUGAGGUGAAUCUGAACUUCCUCCAUCCGUUGAGAUCGAGCAUGACGCAGUGACCAGUCACCAUUGAUCCAGAGGUCAGCAACCAAGGUGGAAAGUGGAAUGCCCGUGAGACGGGGGGCCUUGAGCUCCGAUGAAGGUGAUGAGGCGACCAUACUGCGUCCAGGGAUCCAACCAAAACUUGACAUCGCUUCCAUUGCCAGGAGAGAUCCUAAUCCAUUUAAGCACUGUCUCGCGUUCCGCCAGAAUCCUUUUGAAAAUCCAGCAGGAGCCAGAGAAGCUUGAUCUGUUCCAGAGAGCAAGGUUUCGAAGGCCUAGCCCUCCAUUCUGUCUAGGAGUUGUGACUUUUUCCCAUGCGACCGGAGCUACAUAUUUGCCUUCCAGCGUACCUUUCCAUAAGAAUGCAUUGCACAUCUUAUCGAUGAGAUUGAUGCAUUCUUUAGGAAGAAUAAAGGCUCCACUCCAGAAGUUGGAGAGGUUCACAGUUGGCGAGGGAGAGCUUCCGAGUGUUCAGUGGCAAGCCUAGGUAUCGAAUGGGGAAGGAGCCAGCCGGGAUACCACUUGUCGAGACAAUAGUUUCGAUUUCAGGUUCAGUCAAGCCGCUAGAGAAGAAGCAAGAUUUCUCGACACUCACUGAGAGACCAGAGAACGCCUUGAACUCCUCGAGGACUUGGAGGAUCAUUUGGACAGAGUUGAGAGAGCCAUCAUUAAAGAUGAGGAUGUCAUCUGCAAAACAUAAGUGGAUAGAAUGUUCAUGACCAGGCCGAAGAGGUAAGGAGAGAGCGGAUCCCCCUGAUAUAAUCCUCUAGUCCCUUUGAAGAACCCGUGAAGCCUACCGUUGAUUCCCACUGAGAAGGAGGGCGAUGUGAAGCAACCAGUGAGCCAUUGGAUGUAGUCUGGGGGCAAGUUGAGGGAUUGGAGGCAGGCUAUAAGGAAGUCCCAUCUAACAGUAUCAAAUGCCUUGGCAAUAUCAAUCU